rnacentral:rRNA from 1 species
GGCGUAAUGGUUGUCAGCGACCCGUCUUGAAACACGGACCAAGGAGUCGAAAAAUCAUGCGAGUAUUUGGGCAUCAAACCCAUAUGCGUAAUGAAAGUGAACGGAGGUGGGAAUCCCUUAUGGGAGGCACCAUCGACCGAUCCUGAUGUCUUCGGAUGGAUUUGAGUAAGAGCAUAAUUUUUCGGACCCGAAAGAUGGUGAACUAUGCCUGAAUAGGGUGAAGCCAGAGGAAACUCUGGUGGAGGCUCGCAGCGGUUCUGACGUGCAAAUCGAUCGUCAAAUUUGGGUAUAGGGGCGAAAGACUAAUCGAACUAUCUAGUAGCUGGUUCCAGCCGAAGUUUCCCUCGUAUGUACCCUUAACGCCCUUAAUGUACUCAGUAACACAGCUAACAUUUCACAGAGGAUAGCAGUAACGUUUUCAGUUUUAUGAGGUAAGCUCACUAUCAGUUGACACCUUUCGAGUGAGACACACUACAUCAAUCACAGUAAAGCGAUGAUAGAGCUUGGGGAUGAACAUCUACUAUCUCAACUUAAUAUGUAGAGUCUGUUCUAUGACGUG